rnacentral:tRNA from 1 species
AGCCCUAUAGUCUAGUGGUCAAGGAUGCAGGCUUUUGGAGCCUGAGACCCCGGUUCGAAUCCGGGUAGGGCUA